rnacentral:rRNA from 1 species
AAGAGACAGCAGCCGCCGCGGUAAAACGUAGGUGGCAAGCGUUGUCCGGAAUUAUUGGGCGUAAAGCGCGCGCAGGUGGUUUAAUAAGUCUGAUGUGAAAGCCCACGGCUCAACCGUGGAGGGUCAUUGGAAACUGUUAAACUUGAGUGCAGGAGAGAAAAGUGGAAUUCCUAGUGUAGCGGUGAAAUGCGUAGAGAUUAGGAGGAACACCAGUGGCGAAGGCGGCUUUUUGGCCUGUAACUGACACUGAGGCGCGAAAGCGUGGGGAGCAAACAGGAUUAGAUACCCGCGUAGUCCCUGUCUCUUAUAC